rnacentral:rRNA from 1 species
AGUGAACGCUGGCGGUAGGCCUAACACAUGCAAGUCGAACGGCAGCACAGUAAGAGCUUGCUCUUACGGUUGGCGAGUGGCGGACGGGUGAGGAAUACAUCGGAAUCUACUUUGUCGUGGGGGAUAACGUAGGAAAACUUACGCUAAUACCGCUUACGACCUACGGGUGAAAGCAGGGGAUCUUCGGACCUUGCGCGAUUGAAUGAGCCGAUGUCGGAUUAGCUAGUUGGCGGGGUAAAGGCCCACCAAGGCGACGAUCCGUAGCUGGUCUGAGAGGAUGAUCAGCCACACUGGAACUGAGACACGGUCCAGACUCCUACGGGAGGCAGCAGUGGGGAAUCUUGGACAAUGGGCGCAAGCCUGAUCCAGCCAUACCGCGUGGGUGAAGAAGGUCUUCGGGUUGUAAAGCUCUGUUGUUGGGAAAGAAAAGCAGCAGAUUAAUCCCCCGCUGUUCUGACGGUACCCAAAGAAUAAGCACCGGCUAACUUCGUG